AGUGGGCAGGCGCCUCCAGGGGAGAAGGGCACCGCAGCCGGAAGCACAGGUCUUCGCGGUGCCACUUCCACCAAGUGAGUUCGAGGAAGUACCUGGGAUCUUUGAUAUAACGCCAAAGGCCUUUCCAGAGAGCUCUUGAAGAGCUGAGAACCCAAGCCUUCCACCUCUAGUUCACGGCUUUGCCACUCUAGGACCCGAGGUUACGUUUGCUGCUGGGGAUCUGACAAACCCAAAGCCUCUCUGGUUUCACCACUGGAUCCUUAGAAUCGGACUUCUGUACUGAAUGGCACCCAUGUAAGUCAGGGGAGUCAGGAGCUGGGGACGUGAUCAUCGAAGUAUGGUCCCCAGACUGGCUGUAUCAAUGUCAGCAUCUCCCAGGACCUGGUUGGAAAUGCAUGUUCUCGGGCUACUCCAAAACCCUUAAUAUGAGACUGGGGCUGCGGGGAGCGCCAUCUGUGCGCCACUGUCCUUGUGGGUGGACCAGGAGGCGGCUCAAGGGUGCUCCCACUUCGGGGUCACGCGCGGCGCCGGGUGCUCCUGAGACCGCCGGGCUCCUCUGUGGUCACGUGGGCUUAGGCACUACUCCCCUCUACCGUCCUCUCGGUCUUUAAAAGAAAAAAGGGGCUUAUCGUUAAGUCGCUGGUGAUCUUUUCAGUUUCUCCAGCCGCUGGCUUUUCGGAUACUCACUCCCCCGCCCGGAGGCAGCUGCGGGAAAUAACUGCCUCUUGAAACUUGCAGGGCAGAGAGCAGGCGGCGAGCGCUGGGCUGGGAAGGGACCACCCGAGCUGCGACGGGCCCCAGGGCUGGCGCUCGGAGCCGGGGCUGCACGAGGAGCGCUCGCUUUCAACAGGUGGCCGCGGGGCGCGUGCCGGGAGGCCCCUACUGCGGGAAAAGCACGUGUCCGCAUUUUAGAGACUGCAAGGCCGGUGUGUUUAUCCGCAAGUCAUUAAACUUACCCAAGAAUCUUUGACGACAUUAUAAUGCCCUUUGUGCCUCUUCUCGCGAGGUGUUAUCCUAGCUGUUAUCUCAAGACAUGGAUAUAAAAAACUCACCAUCCAGCCUUAAUUCUCCUUCUUCCUACAAUUUUGGUCAAUCCAUCUUACCCUUGGAGCACGGCCCUAUAUACAUACCUUCCUCCUAUGUAGAGAGCCACCAUGAAUAUCCGGCCAUGACAUUCUAUAGCCCUGCUGUGAUGAAUUACAGCAUUCCCAGCAGUGUUACUAACUUGGAAGAGGGGCCUGGUCGGCAGAUCACAAGCCCAAAUAUGCUGUGGUCAACACCUGGCCACCUUUCUCCUUUAGCUGUCCAUCACCAGUUAUCACAUCUGUAUGCAGAACCUCAAAAGAGUCCCUGGUGUGAAGCAAGAUCACUAGAACAUACCUUACCUGUAAGCAGAGAGACACUGAAAAGGAAAGUUAGUGGGAACCAUUGUGCCAGCCCUGUUACUGGUCCAAGUUCAAAGAGGGAUGCUCACUUCUGUGCAGUCUGCAGCGAUUACGCAUCGGGAUAUCACUAUGGAGUCUGGUCGUGUGAAGGAUGUAAGGCCUUUUUUAAAAGAAGCAUUCAAGGACAUAAUGAUUAUAUUUGUCCAGCUACAAAUCAGUGUACAAUCGAUAAAAACCGGCGCAAGAGCUGCCAGGCCUGCCGACUUCGGAAGUGCUACGAAGUGGGAAUGGUAAAGUGUGGCUCCCGGAGAGAGAGAUGUGGGUACCGCCUUGUGCGGAGACAGGGAAAUGCCGAGGAGCAGCUGCAUUGCGCCGGCAAGGCCAAGAGAAGUGGUGGUCACGUGCCCCGAGUGCGGGAGCUGCUGCUGAGCGCCCUGAGCCCCGAGCAGCUGGUGCUCACCCUCCUGGAGGCCGAACCGCCCCAUGUGCUGAUCAGCCGCCCCAGCGUGCCCUUCACUGAGGCCUCCAUGAUGAUGUCCCUGACCAAGCUGGCCGACGAGGAGUUGGUACACAUGAUCAGCUGGGCCAAGAAGAUUCCCGGCUUUGUGGAGCUCAGCCUGUUGGACCAAGUGCGGCUCUUGGAGAGCUGCUGGUUGGAGGUGUUAAUGGUGGGGCUGAUGUGGCGCUCAAUUGACCACCCCGGCAAGCUCAUCUUUGCUCCAAAUCUCAUUCUGGACAGGGAUGAGGGGAAAUGCGUAGAAGGAAUUCUGGAAGUCUUUGACAUGCUCCUGGCAACUACUUCAAGGUUUCGAGAGUUGAAACUCCAACACAAAGAGUAUCUCUGUGUCAAGGCCAUGGUCCUGCUCAAUUCCAGUAUGUACCCUCUGGUCACAGCAACCCAGGAUGCUGAGAGCAGCCAGAAGCUGGCCCACUUGCUGAAUGCCGUGACUGACGCUUUGGUCUGGGUGAUCGCUAAGAGUGGCUUCUCCUCCCAGCAGCAGUCGGUGCGCCUGGCUAACCUCCUGAUGCUCCUGUCCCACAUCAGGCAUGCGAGUAACAAGGGCAUGGAACAUCUGCUCAGCAUGAAGUGCAAAAAUGUGGUCCCAGUGUAUGACCUGCUGCUGGAGAUGAUGAAUGCCCACGUGGUUCGCGGGUGCAAGUCCUCCAUCACGGGGUCCGAGUGCAGCCCGGCAGAGGACAGUAAAAGCACAGAGGGCUCCCAGAACCCACAGUCUCCGUGACGCCUGGCCCUGAGGUGAACAGGCCCACAGAGGUCACAGGCUGAAGCGUGAACUCGAGUGUGUUGGGAGCCUGGGCUUCAUCUUUCUGCUGUCUGGUCCCUCAUUUGGUGAUGGCAGGAUUGGUCAUGUACCUUCCUUCCCCUGACCUCCCCACCUCCCAGGAGACAGGGUGAGGAAGCCAUAGUUUCCUUGUUAGCAGGGCACACACUUGAAUGCAGUGAUUUCAUACUGAACAGCGUCACAGGAUCUCGAUGUGGUCUUUCUUACACAUCUCCCUUUCUCCCCUUUGUGAAACAUCUUAAAGGUUUUGGAAUGAAUGGUGGAAAUGUGACCUGAAAGGGCUGUGAAUCAGAAAGGGGAGAGGAAGUAACACGCUUACAGGAAGUGGACUAACCCUUCUUGUGCCGCACACACUACCUUUCCCUUUGAGUUGACCUUUGUAUGCUUUUGUCUGGACCACUUGAUUGUAAGACUGAAAACCCCUGUGACAAUUGCGUACCUACCUCCCAGGCCUGUGGGGACUGAUCGUAUCGUGAUGCUUAUUCUGUCAAAGGCCAAAGGGACUGUAGCCAGGCUGGGAUGUGAGUCAUGUUCUCUCUCUGACCUUGCUGCCAGCUACACACAGAUUAAUCCCUCUUGAUGUGCAUUCACAGGGCCUGCCAAUAAUUUGUGGUAUGUGUGUAUGAGAGUGUGAUCAUUUUCAUGGAAGACUGUGGGAGAUACACAUCUCCCUGCUCCUGGAGCUGCCCUUCCUUAAACCUCUGUUGUCCCAUGGGGCCAGCAUGGGUGCUGGAGAAAGGCCGUGUUUGCAGGAAUGGGGUUCUCUCCUGUGGGUGUGGGUGACAGUCACAGUGUUUCCCUGGGGGCAUUGUGGAUGCAGUUUCCAUCCACAGUGGAAGCAGCCACCCCAAGCAGUCAGGGACACUUUGAGCUGUGGGUGUGCACAGCAUGCUGUUUUGCAGAUGGAUGAGUAGCCACGCACCCCAAUGUGUCAGCUCUGGGGCCAUACUGCAUAGCCUUGAUGAGUACACCCCUUGAACAAGACCUGGUUUGUGAACUCUCCUGAAACACAAAUAUUUAGGGAUAAUUAUUUAUAGCAAGAAAGAAUUCUUUUACACUUGAGAGCUCUUUUAAAAAAGAUUUUAUGGUGGUUUCUGGGUGAAAAAGAAACAGUAAAAAUAUUAGUUCUUAUUCCAAGAGGAACACAAAUAGGACAUGAAGAAAGGCGCCUCUGAAGUGACAGUUUUAAGUCACUUUUUUUUUUCUUUUUGAGACAGAGUUUCACUUGUUGCCCAGGCUGGAGUGCAAUGGCGCGAUCUCGGCUCCCUGCAACCUCCACCUCCAGGGUUCAACUGAUUCUCCUGCCUUGGCCUCCCAAGUAGCUGGGAUUACAGGUGCCUGCCACCAUGCCCAGCAAAUUCUAUAUUUUUAGUAGAGACAGAAUUUCUCCAUGUUUGUCAGGCUGGUCUUGAACUCCUGAACUCAGGUGAUCUGCCCACCUUGGCCUCCCAAAAAAAGUGCUGGGAUUACAGGAAUAAGCCACUGUGCCCGGCCUUAACUCACUUUUUAAAAGAUUUGAAAUUUUCAGUUUUGGAAACAGUCAAUGUGCAAAAUGAGUAACAGCAUACUUUGGAAGCAAGCAAUGAAACAAUCAUGUUUGAUUACUGCAGUAAUGUUUUAAACAAUUACCUUGUGAUAUAUUAAAUAUAUUUUCUUUUUGAAAAUAGGUUCACUUUGGCUAGUGUAUCCUGUAUUUACUAAGUCAUUAGGAAGAUUACAUUCAGUGUUAGAAAGAUUGGUUUCUGCUAGUGAGACCUUGAAUAAUCCUUAAUUUUGAUAUUGGUGCAGUUUUACUAAAAGUUGAGCUUAGCUGUUUCAGAAACGCUUGGACAAGUACCUAGAGAACAUAGUGCUGUCUGUGUUCUGAGGCAGUUUGAAGUUAUUCGUAGUGACUCAGUGUUACAGCCUUAGUAAGAUUUAGUACAGGUAGGAUUAGCUUGAUUUCAUAGAAACCAGGGAACCAGUUAGUGUCAGUUUCUUUCUUCCUGGCCAGCCUAGAAUCCCCAACUCCCAAGAGAGGGGUUUGGAAGCUGGAGAGUAGGAAGUAAGAGGCAAAGGAGGCAGCCUUUAACAACUCAUUAUCUUCCAGUGAAAUUCCACUAAACGUAUUUUUAAAGGAGAUUACCAGGUAACAAAAACAAAAAACCAAAACAAGGCCAGAUGUGGUGGCUCAUGAUUGUAAAUCCCAAUGUGCUGGGAGGCCGAGGCAGGUGAACCAUGUGAGCCCAGGAGUUUAAGUCCAGACUGGGCAACAUGGAGAAUCCCUGUCCUACAAAAAAAUGCAAAAAUUAGCCAGGCGUGAGGGCGCAGGCCUGUAGUUCCAGCUACCUGGGAGGCUGAGGUGAGAGCAUCACCUGAGCCUAGGGAGAUCAAGGCUGCAGUGAGCUGAGAUCAUAUCAAAGCACUACAGUCUGGGCAACAGAGGGAGACCCUGUCAAACACAAAAAUUACCAGCCAGGCGCAGUGGCUCAUGCCUGUAAUCCCAGCCCUUUGGGAGGCCAAGGUGGGAGGAACACAAGGUCAGGUGUUUGAGACCAGCCUGGCCAACAAGUUUAAACCCCAUUUCUACUAAAAACACAGAAAAUUAGCUGGGUGUGGUAUUGGGUGCCUGUAUUCCAGCUACUUGGGAGGCUAGAGCAGCAGAAUCACCUGAACUUGGGAGGGAGGAGGUUGCAGUGAGCCAAGAUGGUGCCAUUACACUCCAGCCUGGGCAACAAGAGUAACACUCCAUCUUAAAAAAAAAAAAAAAAAAAAAAAAAAAUUACCAGGAAAUAUAUAUAUACUUUUGGAGAGAUCUUAAGACAGAUUUCAUUCCUACUCCUGAGAGUGAAUUGGCAAUGGCAAUCCCUUUAGAGCCUUGAGAGGGCAAUCUGGCACGUGUGCCGCAGUGUUUCGGCUGUUCUCAUUGAAUCUCCCUCUGUUCUCACCUCACCCCUCUGUCUGGCCUCAGGCCUGUCCCAUACUCACUGCCCACCAGGACUGACUACAAAAGAUUUGACCCUAAAAUAGUCUUGAAGGGAUUUUUCUCAAAAAAGUAAGGUGGGAACCUGAGACAAAGCUGUCAGCCUAACAACAAAUCUGAGGACUCUUAUCUGCAUUAAAAACAAAACAGGGCAAAAUUGACGGGAGCUGUGCAGUACAAGUCUUGAUCUGGAAUACGUCUGCUAACCCAGCUGGAAGGGCAACUAUUUUAGAUUUCAGUAAGGAAGAAAAAUCAGUUACCAAUACUUGGCAGAGCCAUAUUACAAAUCCACAUAUAUUUAUAUAUAUAAGUGGAGUUGAAGCAAUUCUAGAAUUUUCUAGCUUAUGAAAACGGGGUUUGGUUCUUAUUUACAUCUGCUAAAGGACUUUUCAAAUUCAAAGUGAACCUUCUGUUUAUAGGCCUAUUUUGAAACAAAGUAUCUUGAUUUAAUACUAUUUGACACUGUUUUUUUGAGAGGGUCUCAGUUCUGGCUAGAGUGCAGUGGCACCAUCAUGGCUCACUGCAGCCUCGAACUCCUGGGCUCAAGUGAUCUUCCCACCUCAGCCCCUGCCUUCCCUAAGUAGCUGGGACUACAGGCUCAAACCACUACACCUGGCCAAUUCUUUGUAAUUUUUGUAGAGAUGGAGUCUUGCUGUGUUGCCCAGGCUGGUCUUGAACUCCUGGGCUCAAGUGAUCUGCCUGCCAAGGCUUCCCAAAGUGCUGGGAUUACAGGCAUGAGCCAUUGUGCCCAGCCCGACACGUUUUUAAGCUGCUGAAAACCUUUUAAAAAGAUAAAAACACAUUAUUUAGUACCUAAAGAUAAUAUUUGUGCCAGACAGUUCCUGGUGCCUCAGUCAUUCACAUUUAAUCCUUUUAAGAACUGUUGUUGUCCUGAUUUUCUGGUUUUGGAACUAGAGGCAGUGUAAGCAAACUUGCUCAAGGUCACAUGGGGAAUAAGCGAUGAGCUAAACACAGGCAGUCUAAGUCCAGUGCCGACAGUGACCAUGCACUUCAACCAGUUUAAAAAAAAAAUUGUUUUAAAACUGCAGAAUCUGUCCAUCAGAUGCAACCUGACAUGCAUGGCUGCUGUGAUUUAAAUGAGGCCUCCUCGUGUCACCCCCUCACCUCCUACCACAAUGUCCAGGACACCCUAGACACAGUUAGUUUGUAAACCUCUGACAGAAGUUCAACUGUACCUUUCAUAUAUGUGUAAAUUAAAGCUCACAGGGGCAAAUGCACCUAUUCAAGGUCAUUUAAAACAACUCAUGGCAAAGCUUGGACUGGCGCUCAAGUCUUCUGUUCACCUGGUGGGCCAGUAUCGCUCCUGCUCCAGGACUUGUUUCUUGAGACUCUGCUUUGUGAGCUGAGUCACAGCAGAAAGGAGGGGUAGUGAAGUUAGGGUUGCUUUCCGCCGUACCUUUAGAUCCCAUCUCCUCAGCUUAGCUGGGUCUGCAUGCACUGUUACAGAAAAGCACCAGUGACAGAUGGAAAAAUAAGAUGGUUCUGUUAUUCCCACUGUCCCAUCUCAGGUUUGUGAGCUGGUGGGUACUGCUAUCACCUCCUAUCCGUGACUGCUUUCCCUGAACACAUGCAAUAUGUUCCUUGGACAUGUACUCGUGUAAAACUAACAUCUUUUAGGCACUGAUCCUUCCCUGUGGUGUGUGGUAUACUAUAGUGUGAAAACAUAUGCCACUUAUACUUUAUAGCUCUCACACUUGCUGGAAUUUUGGUUCCAGUGGCGGCUCUUAAGAUGUGCAUUAUCCGUGAUGUAUUAUUGAAAUGCCAUUUUUGUUGCUUUGGAGUCAAUGAUUAUUUUUUUCAAUUCCAAGGAUUCUAUUGACUUGUAAGGCUGGCCACUGGUAACUGGUGGUGGGUUUCCUCUAUGGGAAGCACAUAAGGCAUGGCGAUGCCAGCUGUGAACAGUUCCUGUUAACUGGAUGGUUUUGCAUUUGUUUCCUCUGUUGGGUUUCUAAAUGCCUUAACUGUUGGUCCUAUACCUUUUAUCAUUUAAUGUGUACCUCAGAGCCUAUUGGUUGGCUAUAAUUUGCCAUUUUCUCAGAUGAAUGCUUUGUACCAUUACACUAAUUUGUUCACUUCAUUUGCAGGCUUUACAUUUGGGCCUUGUAGAAAUGAAUGUAUGCUGCUAUGUGAAAGCAGACUUUGAGACCUGCUCUCCCUUCCUCCAGGGAGUUUUUCCUUACUGUGUCCCUUCAAUGUCUAUGGCACUGUCACAGAGAUUUAACAUGAUAGUAAUAAAGUGUUUUCAUUAUUUUGGCUUUAAAAAUGUAUUUGUUGAGGGUUGAGUAUAAGAAUAUACAGUAAUUAGGCAAAGCAGUGUCUACAUUCUUUUCUGAGUUCUAUUAUUUUGGGGUUAGAGUCCUUUGAGAAUUUGAUGAAAACCAGGGCUAGUCUUCAUGGGAAAAGGCACGAGAACACAAAUGCUUGUGUACAAUUUCAGAAGAGUUAAGCUCUGCUUUAAUGUAUGGCUUCUUAAAAAGGGACAGUUUCAUCUUUAGUCAGCAAUUCUCACACUUGUGAUUGAUUUAUGACCACAGGUUCCGCGUAUACAAGUAAAACACAGCCCACAAAAGUCCUGGUAUCUAGUGCAUCAAUUAUUUGGAUAGAUUUUCUAUCAUUCCAUCUGAGUUCAAUUAGAAUUAUAUCCUCUGUAGAUGGGGAGAAAAGCCACUCAUUCAUUUUGAAGUUAUCUUAGUGCCAACAGUCAUGUGAAAAUGUUCUUUGCAUGUGGGCAAUGAAAGAUGUGCAGACAAUGUAACACCCAGACUACCUCAUAAAACAGUUCUGGGAAUACACUGAGCUUUGAGUGAAGAAGCUGCAGGGGCCUCCCCGGCGAUGGGGGCAAACCAGCUUAAAGGCCUUUGUCCUUUGGAAGGGACAAGAAUUGACAUACAAUAUUGGGCUUUGAAAUGAAGACCACACUGUUCCUUUUACUGCAACUCUGACUUGUCCCGCAUCUCUACUUAAGGGCAGAAAAGGCCUCUCACUCACUCACCUCCUUUGGAAUGGAAGAUGGAGAUUGACUCUUGCCUGAAGCAACGAUGGAGCAGUGACCCUCUAAUCAACUCGGUGGCCUAAAGAAAAAGUUUGGGUAACAUUUUCACUUCAGUUUCCCUCUGGAAUCACUGAAGUUAUGUGGUUAAAAAACAUCUUCCUUUUUAGAUCGGUCCAGCAAUUUAAUAACUGUAAACACUGAAGGUAAAGUGAAGACAGAUUCUCUUCAGGUGGUCUCCUUAACUGCCCAGGCCUUGUGGAUGUCUCACCCAUGAGGGGCACCAAUGUGGAAAGCUGAGGCUUCCUCUACUGAUGAGUGAGUUCCACUGUUUUCCCCUGAGGUUUGUGCUUUGCUGAGAAGGGGAGGAGGGGACUGGGAUGGUGUGGUCAGCGGUGCCUGCCAAGACAUGCAGGUUAGGAACUGGGUUCAGUAUCUUCUCAAGAAAGGGGAAAUGCUCACGCAUAUCCUCUGUUUAGGUAGAAAGUAAACAAUGUUACUGGACUUAAAUGGGCAA